rnacentral:lncRNA from 1 species
GGUGUUAGCCAUAAGCAUCCGGGUUUAGGUCUUGGUGGUCCAGCACAAAGUGCUUCAUAUGGCUACCCAGGUCCAAGCAAGAAAAUCGAUAUUCCAAAUGGAAGGGUUGGCGUGAUAAUUGGCAAAGGUGGCGAGACUAUCAAGUACCUCCAACUACAGUCAGGAGCUAAGAUUCAGGUCACCAGAGACAUGGAUGCAGAUCCAAACUCUACUUCAAGAGCAGUUGAGCUUAUGGGAACUCCGGAUCAGAUAGCCAAAGCUGAGCAAUUGAUCAAUGAUGUUCUUAACGAGGUAUUAUGCAUGUUAGCAAUACCUUCAAUACCUGUUAUUUUGUGUGUUUGUUGCCCUUCUCUAGGAUGUUUAUUUUGACUGCCACUUGUAGAUGUUAAUUUGGUUUGAUAGUCAGCUCUGUAGUUGUGGAAGUUUGAGAAAUUUCUUUGAUGAAUUCUCUGUAGUAACAGUUUGCUUUUCAAUGGGACAGGCUGAUGCAGGUGGUUCUGGCAUAGUUUCCCGACGGUUGACUGGGCAGCAAUCUGGGGCCGAUCAAUUUGUUAUGAUGAUCCCUAAUAAUAAAGUAUGCUAGAUGUUGUCUAUUGGCUCUUAUGAUUAUUUAGCUCAUUAGUUUCCUUACAAUGGAUAAAUUUCAGGUGGACUUGUUAUUGGUAAAGGAGCGAAACUAUAAAAAGUAUGCAAGCUCAAACAGGGGCCCGUAUCCAGGUAGGGUGGCCUGAAUUUUUUUACAAAAUACAUUAUGUUGAUUUUCAUGAAACUGCAGCUUACUGCAUGAAUUCAUCAUCUCAAUGACAAAGAUACUUACUCAUAUGNGAGUUCGGCUCGGGUGAUGCUCGAUAAUGUUGAAUUCGAGUUUGAGCUCGAGCUCGACUCGUUAGAUGUUCGUAUAUAUGAUGUUCAAGCUCGAAUUUGUUAUAAAUAUAAGAAAAUUUUAUUAAUUAAUGUGUUAUUCGAGCUCGAGUUCGACUCAUUUAAAGUUUGUGCAUUAACUCGAUUGAAGGCUCGACUGAAGGUUCGUGAACAGGCUUGCGAACAAUCAAAUCCGAACAUAUUCGCGAGCUCAAUGAGCCGAGCACUGUCAGGCUCGAUAAAAAUCUCGAGCUUGAAAUCAAGCUCGAGCUCGACUCGUAUAUUAUCGAAUCGAGCUCCGAACGAAUUUUUUUCGAACCGAAUCUCGAAUAGCGAUUAGCUUUGUUCAUUUACGGCCCUAGCAAACAUAGAUUGACGUUUGAAUAAAUAAGAAAAUUUAAGGGGUCAACAUGUAAAUUCGACAAAAUCUUUUUGUGUACAUUAUAUUUCCAUCGUAUUUACUCGUAGACCCCUCGUAAAAAAUCUGGAGUGGGCCAUGCCCAUAUAAAUACCUCAUCCUUAAUUCUCUCUCAUCUGCAAAAUCUAGGGUUUUUCCAUCUCCUCUUCCCGUGCGCAAUUUCCUGUAUUUUCCGGCAGAAAUGGCAGAUGAGGCGGUGUACGCUGCAGGAGGCGAAUCGAACAAGCGCAAGUACGAUGAUUCGCCGCCAGCUGUGGGGCGCAGGUCGACGGGGUUCUCGUCGCCGCCCGAUUCCGCCGCACCUCCGCCUUCGUACAACAACGUUCCGCCGCCCUUGAACGAGAUCGAGCUGGCUAAGCAGAAGGCGCAGGAGAUUGCUGCGAGGCUUCUGAACAACGCUGAUCCUUCGAAGAGAGCGAGAGUUGAGAACGGGGCUGGUGCCGGCGGUGGUUAUGAUGCUGUUGAUACAGGUUGGGGCUUCUUCUGAAAUAAGCCUAUCACUCGCAUUUUCUCUGCAGUUCACCUCUAAUUGCUCUCGUAGGUCUUUGGUAUCCGUAAUUUUGAUGAACACUCCGUUUGAUUGAGCUUAUAGUGCUUGAAACUUAUGGUGAUUACCGAGUUCCAAAAUAUUUGUUGGCAUUGUUGCACAUUUUCUUAAGUUUAUAACGGUGAUAUUUUACUUGUACUUUCUUGGUAAUUCUUGUUGCUCAAGGUUUUUAUAUUAUUAAUUGCGAAGCACUAGGCAUCUGUGUGUAUCCUUGCAACAUAUUACAAAUAUAUAGUUAUUGAUUGGGAUUUUCUGAAUGGACGGAGAAGAGGAUAACUGUGUCAUGUUCUUUGGUUUUAGGUGUUAGCCAUAAGCAUCCGGGUUUAGGUCUUGGUGGUCCAGCACAAAGUGCUUCAUAUGGCUACCCAGGUCCAAGCAAGAAAUCGAUAUUCCAAAUGGAAGGGUUGGCGUGAUAAUUGGCAAAGGUGGCGAGACUAUCAAGUACCUCCAACUACAGUCAGGAGCUAAGAUUCAGGUCACCAGAGACAUGGAUGCAGAUCCAAACUCUACUUCAAGAGCAGUUGAGCUUAUGGGAACUCCGGAUCAGAUAGCCAAAGCUGAGCAAUUGAUCAAUGAUGUUCUUAACGAGG